rnacentral:rRNA from 1 species
AGCGGCGAGCGAAACGGAAAGAGCCCAAACCAAGAAGCUUGCUUCUUGGGGUUGUAGGACACUCUAUACGGAGUUACAAAAAAGUUAUAAAUGAAGCGGUCUGGAAAGGCCCGCCAAAGACGUAACAGCCCGGUAGUUGAAAUGGCUUUCCUCCAGAGUGGAUCCUGAGUACGGCGGAACACGUGAAAUUCCGUCGGAAUCCGGGAGGACCAUCUCCCAAGCUAAAUACUCCCUAGUGACCGAUAGUGAACCAGUAUGAGGAAAGGUGAAAGCACCCGGAAGGGGAGUGAAACAGUUCCUGAAACCGUGUGCCUACAAGUAGUUAGAGCCGUUAAUGGGUGAUAGCGUGCCUUUUGUAGAAUGAACCGGCGAGUUACGAUUUGUUGCCGGAAAAAGCGGAGCGUAGCGAAAGCGAGAAUAGGGCGCAUAAGUAACAGGUCGAGACUCG